GCGGUGAGCAUGUGGUUAAUUCGACGCAACGCGAAGAACCUUACCAGGGCUUGACAUCCCCUGACCGUCUAUGAAAGUAGGCUUUCUGCCUUCGGGUAGACAGGGAGACAGGUGGUGCAUGGUUGUCGUCAGCUCGUGUCGUGAGAUGUUGGGUUAAGUCCCGCAACGAGCGCAACCCUUACGGUUAGUUGCCAGCGGGUUAUGCCGGGCACUCUAGCUGAACUGCCGUUGACAAAACGGAGGAAGGUGGGAUGACGUCAAAUCAUCAUGCCCUUUUAUGUCCUGGGCUACACACGUGCUACAAUGGCCUGUACAGAGGGAAGCGAAAGGGUGACCUGGAGCGAAUCCCAAAAAGCAGGUCUCAGUUCGGAUUGCAGGCUGCAACCCGCCUGCAUGAAGUCGGAAUCGCUAGUAAUCGCGGAUCAGCACGCCGCGGUCGAAUACGUUCCCGGGCCUU
rnacentral:rRNA from 1 species